rnacentral:lncRNA from 1 species
GGGGCAUGAGGUUUGGGGUGGAUUUCUACCAUCUUGGCAUGUGCAAAGGAGGAGAUCUAUCUCCUUUCGGGUGAGAGACCUAGAAUCAUUCUAGGAUUUUUGGGUGAGGAAAAAAUCAAAGAGAAGAGAGUCUUCAUCUAAUUUUUCUCCAUCAUCCAAUAUCUUUUUCUAAUCUAUCUUCGACAUUGAAAAGAUCUUAAGUGAUCGAAGAAGAAGAUCAAAUCAGAUCUACC